rnacentral:rRNA from 1 species
UACAGAGGGGGCAAGCGUUAUUCGGAAUUACUGGGCGUAAAGGGCGCGUAGGCGGCCUGUUAAGUCGAACGUGAAAUCCCCGGGCUCAACCCGGGAACUGCGUCCGAUACUGGCAGGCUUGAAUCCGGGAGAGGGAUGCGGAAUUCCAGGUGUAGCGGUGAAAUGCGUAGAUAUCUGGAGGAACACCGGUGGCGAAGGCGGCAUCCUGGACCGGCAUUGACGCUGAACAGCGAAAGCCAGGGGAGCAAACGGG